UACGAAGGGUGCUAGCGUUGUUCGGAAUUACUGGGCGUAAAGCGUGCGUAGGUGGUUUGUUAAGUCUGAUGUGAAAGCCCUGGGCUCAACCUGGGAAUUGCAUUGGAUACUGGCAGGCUAGAGUGCGGUAGAGGAUGGCGGAAUUCCCGGUGUAGCAGUGAAAUGCGUAGAGAUCGGGAGGAACAUCUGUGGCGAAGGCGGCCAUCUGGACCAGCACUGACACUGAGGCACGAAAGCGUGGGGAGCAAACAGG
rnacentral:rRNA from 1 species